CCGCUCCCCUGGGGCCCUGAGAACGUCACGUCCUGCCAGUUCACCUCCUUGACUCCAGAUACCGUGCUGGAGGCCGUGGUCUGCUUCUUCUCUGUCUGGUCCAUCGUGGGGCUCUCGGGUUUCCACACGUACCUGAUAAGCUCCAACCAGACCACGAAUGAAGACAUUAAAGGAUCUUGGUCAAAUAAAAGAGGUAAAGAAAAUUACAACCCCUACAGCUACGGAAACAUCUUUACAAACUGCUGCGUUGCGCUGUGUGGACCAAUCUCUCCAAGCCUCAUCGACCGAAGAGGGUACAUUCAGCCCGACACCCCGCAGCCAGCCGCGCCCUCCAACGGGAUGGCCACAUACGGGGCCACACAGUCCCAGAGUGACAUGGUAGGACCCGGGGUGCCCCACAAGGGCUCCUCUCCCGCAUCGGUGUUCACUGACCCGUAACACCCGAUCACCUAGCUUCCUAGGACACGCAUGGCUCAGGGAGGAAA
rnacentral:lncRNA from 1 species